AGGCUCGUAGCUCAGAUGGAUAGAGCAUCUGCCUUAUAAGCAGAGGGUCGCUGGUUCAAAUCCAGCCGGGCCUA
rnacentral:tRNA from 1 species